AGUGAACGCUGGCGGUAGGCCUAACACAUGCAAGUCGAACGGCAGCACAGUAAGAGCUUGCUCUUACGGGUGGCGAGUGGCGGACGGGUGAGGAAUACAUCGGAAUCUACUUUUUCGUGGGGGGUAACGUAGGGAAACUUACGCUAAUACCGCAUACGACCUACGGGUGAAAGCAGGGGAUCUUCGGACCUUUCGCGAUUGAAUGAGCCGAUGUCGGAUUAGCUAGUUGGCGGGGUAAAGGCCCACCAAGGCGACGAUCCGUAGCUGGUCUGAGAGGAUGAUCAGCCACACUGGAACUGAGACACGGUCCAGACUCCUACGGGAGGCAGCAGUGGGGAAUAUUGGACAAAGGGCGCAAGCCUGAUCCAGCCAUACCGCGUGGGUGAAGAAGGCCUUCGGGUUGUAAAGCCCUUUUGUUGGGAAAGAAAAGCAGCAGGUUAAUACCCCGCUGUUCUGACGGUACCCAAAGAAUAAGCACCGGCUAACUUCGUG
rnacentral:rRNA from 1 species